UUAAGCGACUAAGCGUACACGGUGGAUGCCCUGGCAGUCAGAGGCGAUGAAGGGCGUGCUAAUCUGCGAUAAGCGCCGGUAAGGUGAUAUGAACCGUUAUAACCGGCGAUACCCGAAUGGGGAAACCCAGUGUGAUUCGUCACACUAUCAUUAACUGAAUCCAUAGGUUAAUGAGGCGAACCGGGGGAACUGAAACAUCUAAGUACCCCGAGGAAAAGAAAUCAACCGAGAUUCCCCCAGUAGCGGCGAGCGAACGGGGAGGAGCCCAGAGCCUGAAUCAGCAUGUGUGUUAGUGGAAGCGUCUGGAAAGGCGCGCGAUACAGGGUGACAGCCCCGUACACAAAAGCGCAUGUGCUGUGAGCUCGAUGAGUAGGGCGGGACACGUGGUAUCCUGUCUGAAUAUGGGGGGACCAUCCUCCAAGGCUAAAUACUCCUGACUGACCGAUAGUGAACCAGUACCGUGAGGGAAAGGCGAAAAGAACCCCGGCGAGGGGAGUGAAAAAGAACCUGAAACCGUGUACGUACAAGCAGUGGGAGCACAGGUUUACCUGUGUGACUGCGUACCUUUUGUAUAAUGGGUCAGCGACUUAUAUUCUGUAGCAAGGUUAACCGUAUAGGGGAGCCGGAGGGAAACCGAGUCUUAAUUGGGCGUUAAGUUGCAGGGUAUAGACCCGAAACCCGGUGAUCUAGCCAUGGGCAGGUUGAAGGUUGGGUAACACUAACUGGAGGACCGAACCGACUAAUGUUGAAAAAUUAGCGGAUGACCUGUGGCUGGGGGUGAAAGGCCAAUCAAACCGGGAGAUAGCUGGUUCUCCCCGAAAGCUAUUUAGGUAGCGCCUCGUGAAUUCAUCUCCGGGGGUAGAGCACUGUUUCGGCUAGGGGGCCAUCCCGGCUUACCAACCCGAUGCAAACUGCGAAUACCGGAGAAUGUUAUCACGGGAGACACACGGCGGGUGCUAACGUCCGUCGUGAAGAGGGAAACAACCCAGACCGCCAGCUAAGGUCCCAAAGUCAUGGUUAAGUGGGAAACGAUGUGGGAAGGCCCAGACAGCCAGGAUGUUGGCUUAGAAGCAGCCAUCAUUUAAAGAAAGCGUAAUAGCUCACUGGUCGAGUCGGCCUGCGCGGAAGAUGUAACGGGGCUAAACCAUGCACCGAAGCUGCGGCAGCGACGCUUAUGCGUUGUUGGGUAGGGGAGCGUUCUGUAAGCCUGUGAAGGUGUGUCGUGAGGCAUGCUGGAGGUAUCAGAAGUGCGAAUGCUGACAUAAGUAACGAUAAAGCGGGUGAAAAGCCCGCUCGCCGGAAGACCAAGGGUUCCUGUCCAACGUUAAUCGGGGCAGGGUGAGUCGACCCCUAAGGCGAGGCCGAAAGGCGUAGUCGAUGGGAAACGGGUUAAUAUUCCCGUACUUGGUGUUACUGCGAAGGGGGGACGGAGAAGGCUAUGUUGGCCGGGCGACGGUUGUCCCGGUUUAAGCGUGUAGGUGUGUGUUCCAGGUAAAUCCGGUUCACUUUAACACUGAGGCGUGAUGACGAGGCACUACGGUGCUGAAGCAACAAAUGCCCUGCUUCCAGGAAAAGCCUCUAAGCAUCAGGUAACAUCAAAUCGUACCCCAAACCGACACAGGUGGUCAGGUAGAGAAUACCAAGGCGCUUGAGAGAACUCGGGUGAAGGAACUAGGCAAAAUGGUGCCGUAACUUCGGGAGAAGGCACGCUGACACGUAGGUGAAGUGAUUUACUCACGGAGCUGAAGUCAGUCGAAGAUACCAGCUGGCUGCAACUGUUUAUUAAAAACACAGCACUGUGCAAACACGAAAGUGGACGUAUACGGUGUGACGCCUGCCCGGUGCCGGAAGGUUAAUUGAUGGGGUCAGCGCAAGCGAAGCUCCUGAUCGAAGCCCCGGUAAACGGCGGCCGUAACUAUAACGGUCCUAAGGUAGCGAAAUUCCUUGUCGGGUAAGUUCCGACCUGCACGAAUGGCGUAAUGAUGGCCAGGCUGUCUCCACCCGAGACUCAGUGAAAUUGAACUCGCUGUGAAGAUGCAGUGUACCCGCGGCAAGACGGAAAGACCCCGUGAACCUUUACUAUAGCUUGACACUGAACAUUGAGCCUUGAUGUGUAGGAUAGGUGGGAGGCUUUGAAGUGUGGACGCCAGUCUGCAUGGAGCCGACCUUGAAAUACCACCCUUUAAUGUUUGAUGUUCUAACGUGGACCCGUAAUCCGGGUUGCGGACAGUGUCUGGUGGGUAGUUUGACUGGGGCGGUCUCCUCCUAAAGAGUAACGGAGGAGCACGAAGGUUGGCUAAUCCUGGUCGGACAUCAGGAGGUUAGUGCAAUGGCAUAAGCCAGCUUGACUGCGAGCGUGACGGCGCGAGCAGGUGCGAAAGCAGGUCAUAGUGAUCCGGUGGUUCUGAAUGGAAGGGCCAUCGCUCAACGGAUAAAAGGUACUCCGGGGAUAACAGGCUGAUACCGCCCAAGAGUUCAUAUCGACGGCGGUGUUUGGCACCUCGAUGUCGGCUCAUCACAUCCUGGGGCUGAAGUAGGUCCCAAGGGUAUGGCUGUUCGCCAUUUAAAGUGGUACGCGAGCUGGGUUUAAAACGUCGUGAGACAGUUCGGUCCCUAUCUGCCGUGGGCGCUGGAGAACUGAGGGGGGCUGCUCCUAGUACGAGAGGACCGGAGUGGACGCAUCACUGGUGUUCGGGUUGUCAUGCCAAUGGCACUGCCCGGUAGCUAAAUGCGGAAAAGAUAAGUGCUGAAAGCAUCUAAGCACGAAACUUGCCCCGAGAUGAGUUCUCCCUGAGACUUAGAGUCUCCUGAAGGAACGUUGAAGACGACGACGUUGAUAGGCCGGGUGUGUAAGCGCAGCGAUGCGUUGAGCUAACCGGUACUAAUGAACCGUGAGGCUUAACCUU
rnacentral:rRNA from 1 species